UACGGAGGGUGCAAGCGUUGCUCGGAAUUAUUGGGCGUAAAGGGUAGGUAGGUGGUCUCAUUUGUCUGGGGUGAAAUCCUUGAGCUUAACUCAAGAAGUGCCCCAGAAACGGUGAGACUAGAGUUCUGGAGAGGGUCGUGGAAUUCCCGGUGUAGCGGUGGAAUGCGCAGAUAUCAGGAGGAACACCAAUGGCGAAGGCAGAUCUCUGGGCCGUAACUGACGCUGAGGAGCGAAAGCAUGGGGAGCGAACAGG
rnacentral:rRNA from 1 species